CUGCAGAAAUGUCACCUCCUCGGGGGCAGCUUUCCUGACUGCUCAGAGACAAAGCCUUCGACCCAGUCUGUCCCAUGUCCGACCAUGGCUUUAUUAUUCUUCUGAAGGGUCUCCUGACCUGUGAAACAACACAUCUCGGCAGUGCUCACUCAUGAUGAAGGCUCGUUGUGCUCUCUCAUGGCUUCAUUUGAAGCCCGUGGCCUACACUAUCUCAUCACGAUGCCAACAAGGGCUUCCUGGAUCACGGUAGGACACCCUUGAAGAAACACACAUGUUUCUUUCUCCCUGAGUAUUCCUCCUUGGGCCGUCCUGCUGACUCUGAAGCCAUUCUACUCCCCCGGGACUCCACUGAGAGGAUCCUAGCCCGGUGCGUUCACCUGUCAUUCCCAGAGAAACUGAGGCAGCUGAGAAACAGGAGCUCAGCCUGAAGCGCGGCUCCCACUCGCUCCCCUGCACGUCACGGCGCGCCCCCCACCGGCAAGAUUCGAUGGUUUCCGCGGUACCUCGCUGGGCACCCCUGAUUGGCAGGCUCCGCCUUCUGGCAGGGCCCCUCUGAUUGGUCGACUCGGCCUCCCCCAUCUGACAGAGACUCUUUGAUUGGCGGACCGUUGCCCCAGCACCAGAGGUCAGGAGACUGGGUCUCCAGCUCUGGGAAAAGCCCACUCGCUUUGCCCCGCCCCAGCUGUGUGGCCUGGGGCAAGUCGGCUUCCGACCUCAGUUUCCCCACUAGGUAGGUUGGUCGAGCCAGGAAACAUGCUAGCACAGGGGGCGUGCCUGCCCACCUAGCCCAGCCCUACGGGCGCCAGUGUGAGUGCAGGUUGGGUGUCGGGAAGAGCGGUUCCCCUCACCUACCCCUCCCACUUCCCUAAGAGCGCAAGGUGGGCGUCUGGCGCCCUCUGGCGGGCAGUCAUCUUGGGGCGGACGGCUUGGAAGGCAGGUGAACUCCGGGAACAAUUUCCUUUGGGGGUUGGCCCCAAACCACGCGGGCGGAAGCCUCUUUCUAGCAGGGGCCAGAGGCGUGAACCGAGGAAGACACCGUCGAGGAAGGGAUGGGGAAAGCUAGGACAGAUCUAGUUGUGAGAAGCUGGGCCCAUUGAUAACUUCCACCCCACCCUUAAAUUUGAUUUGAUUAAGCGCUCUCCAGCCAUUAGCCACAUAUCUUCAGGCCACAAGCCAGGCAGUCUCAUCAAUCCUCCCACGCCCCUUGAUUAAAACAACUAUUUAUUAAGCACUAUGUGCAGGAUAACACGGGGGCUGCUGGCUGAGACCACCCAACCCUUCCCUCCCUGCAACAGUCUUUCGCAAAAGCCAGGCUAGUGGUCAGGAGAGGCAGGAGACCCCUGGAGCCCGUGUGCGUGCGGCAAGCAGGCAUUGAAGCAUGGCUAAGUGAGGGAGAGGGGUCCAACCAGCUGGGGUAGGAUCUCUGGAAGGUUCCUCAGAGAGGGCUAGGCAGGACUCAGGAUCUUCUUGCCCCACCCCCACCGCAUCCCCGGGAAGAUUCUGAAUUUCCAAGUUCUCAGUAAAGACCAAGUAAAUUUUACUUCAGGGAGGAAAUUGCCAACCUGGCAAUUUUGUUAAGUGCCCCGUCCGUUCUCAGAGGAUGCAAGGCAGGUCUGACCACCAGAGGGGAGCAGCGACCGCUCGUGAGAGCUUACAAAAAAGCCUAUAGCUGGGAAAAGGAGGUAAGGCCCCCCUAGUUCCACGCUAUUAUGUGAAAGUCCCAAGCUUUAGGCAGCCGGUCAGAGAGCCACCUGCUAGGUCAAGCACCCCCCCCCCCAAACACACACACACAAAUUUACAGCAACUCAUUCAUUCCUUUUUUACCUCUCAAGUUUAUUGAGAGGCAAUUGUGUUCCUGCCUGGAGGGAGCUGUCUUAGGGGAAGCAGUCUCUUUAAGGGGUCUGGGAGAUGUCAACGCUUUAGAGACCAGACCCCUGUAGGGCUCAGCGAAGGCUGAGCCUAAGCGUGGCAGUGUUGGGAGGGCAGACCAACGGGAGCAAGAUGGGUACCCUGGACAAAUGAACGGUGGCUGGAAAACCCCAUCAGAUUCUGCAGUGCCUGGGGAGUGAGGAGGGAGGCCAGACAUGGUUGUCGAGGUAACCGGGGUUAGAUCAUGGAGGGCCUUGCUGCCAGGCUCAAGGGGCAGGGGGAGGGGUGUCAGACAGGAGACUCCUGAACAGGAGCCCAGCCAAAGCCAGGCCCUCAAGCUCUCUCUGGUGACCAGGGAGGAGCUGGGAUUGGCUGGUGAGGCAGGACUGGGGGUCAUCUUUCCACAGUGGCAGCUUGAGGCUGGCAGGAAAGGACCAGGUUACUAUCACUCGGGGAGACGGAGGCUGGAAGAAGCCUUUGAGUGAGGGGAAGACCACUUACCUUUGCAGCCAGCCCUGGACCUGACCCUGAAUCAGGGCCCCUGAAGCCUGGGGAGAGACAGGAAGGGAAGGAGAGGAGGGGCUAGGGGCAGAAUGCGCUUAGGAGGGUCAUCCCACUCUGAGCAAACUGUCACCUGGGAGUUAAUCACACCUCCUGACUUUCCUCAAAAUCCUCAGACCUCGGUUUCUAUUUUCUCCACCUGAGAAACAGGGCUACAGUCCCAACUGAGGCAGAUCAAAUGGCUUCCACAAUACAGAGGGGCAGGGGGAGGAGGAGAGGAAGAGCGAGACUUCCCGGGCCAGCCUGCAGCAAGGCACAACAGCUGACGCUGGCCCCAGACCGCCUGCCCACCCCCUGCCUGGCCAAAGGGCUGGCAGCACCCCAGCCCCACCCAGCCUGGAGUGUGUUUCAGCUGGACCCAGCUCCAGUGGUGGUGUAGGGGCUGGAUCUGUACCUAAAAAUACCCAGGAGCCAGGCCAGCUGCCGAGAGCUUCCUCAGAGGCAGCUGGGCCAGACCCGGCCAGCUGAGGAGCUGGGCAGGCGCACCCGCAUGGGGGAACCCUGCUCCCUUACCUGUGACAUGUUCUGAGGGGCCCAAGUCAUUCACCUUCUAUUCACCGGGAAUUCCUGGAGAGGUUUAGGAGAGCAAGAAAGAUUCUUUAAGUUGGUUCUUGCCAUAGAGCUGAUGGGCACAGAACAGAAGCUAGGGGAGCAGGCCGGCUGAGCUCAGGAGAGAAUAAGGGCCAGAUCCACUUGUCUUGUCAGGGCAAAGUCGGGCCAGCACAGGACAGGAUGGGGAAGUUAAUGACAAUUCUUACAGCCUCCACUUCCCUGGCACUUCUGCACAUCCUGAGAGUUCACCUCACACCCGAAGGGUCAUCCACCCCAGAUGAGGCAGAAAAAACUGAGCUAUUCUUUGACGUCCCAGAGAUGGGAGGUGGCCAGGAAUGGCCUGGGAGCCCAGGACUCUGUCCAGGUCGCAGCACUUGGUGGCGCUGGUGGGGAGGUCACACUGGAACACAAAAAGCUCCCCUCACAAAGCCAGAAUUAAAAACAUCUCAAAAAGUCA